UACAGAGGUCCCAAGCGUUGUUCGGAUUCACUGGGCGUAAAGGGUGCGUAGACGGUUUGAUAAGUCUGAUGUGAAAUCCCGCAGCUUAACUGCGGGAACUGCAUUGGAAACUAUUUGACUAGAGGAAUGGAGGGGAGACUGGAAUACUUGGUGUAGCAGUGAAAUGCGUAGAUAUCAAGUGGAACACCAGUGGCGAAGGCGAGUCUCUGGACAUUUCCUGACGCUGAGGCACGAAAGCCAGGGGAGCAAACGGG
rnacentral:rRNA from 1 species